CAGUGACAGUUUCUUACAAGUAUAAGUUUAAGGAAUGAUAAUUAAUUGAAGUAACUAAUGGACUAUUAUUAUGAGCUUAAACAUUAUGGCUUCAGCUCUAAAAAUUAUUCUUAUUAGGUCCUUUACUUAGAUCUUUGAGAUACUUUUGGUGAUUAUGUUAGAGAUAAGCCAACUCCUUGGGCUAAUUUGAAACAUAGGAAUGUACUUUCCUUGCAUAUUCGUUUUAGUGUGGAGACUUCUCAGACAGCCUUCUUUGGCCUUUUAUUUUGUAGAGUCUUCUGUGGAGUGAAAUCUUUUCGGUUUUAUUUUCUCUUUUUGAUCUGUGGUCCUGGAGUUUUACUAUUGCUUGGACACUGGCAUGUGCUUUGAUUGAUGUCCUGUUGUUUAUCAGGCAAAUACAAUACCACCCUAGCAAGGGUUGCAUUUGGAUGGAUGCUGUAGUUUUUCUGAUGCAAGUACAGUCUUAUUAUACCUACUGUUGUCUUCCAUGUUAGAUGAUGUAGCAUUUCCUCUCAUCACUUAGGCAAUUUAAAUCCCAGGGUAUUU
rnacentral:lncRNA from 1 species